ACACAGAGAAACCCUGUCCCUAAAACAAACAAAAAUCUAGUUAUAACCUAAAGUGCAAUGAAACAGACAACAACAAGGUGGAGGCGAGUCCGCAAUUGAAAACAGCAGGCUACGGUAGCAGAUCUCAGAAGAAAAGGAACCAACUUAAACUCUUACUAAGAAGUGUUAGCUGAGUGUGGAGGCACACAUCGGUAAUCCUAGCUGAGAAGAACCAGAAGUUUAAGGCUAGACAGAUACACAGUGAAACCCUGUCUCAAACAGGUCAGCCAGCCAGCCAACCAACCAACCAACCAACCAAGCAUGGUCCUUGUGAGAUGACUUAGUGGUUAAAGAUUCGUGCAGCCAAACCUGACGACGGGAAUUUAUCUCCAGGACUGUUAUGGUGGAACAAGAGAACUGACUCUUAUCACAGAACAAUAUGAAAUGUUCCCUGUUUCCUGCUCUAAAGGCAGUGGGACCUGAGAGUAGAGCCUAAAAGUGAGGUGGAAUAGAAGUUUCACGCAAUCGUCAACUUUAGACAGUUCAUACACUGAGGGUUGAGACUCAAAAGUACCAGGUCCCUGACCAAGGAGCUCUUCAUCCAUUCCUUAAUGAAGAUGCAUGGGCUUGCAACCAGGGCGAGUAAAGACAGCUAUUGAGUAACGGCUACUGAGGUGCAAUGCAGACUGUGCUCUAUAUAAGCAGGGUGUCAAGACUGUACAACACUAAGAAGCUUUUAAUAGCCAGGGCUGUCUGGCACAAGGUCGCAGAGGAGUGUCGCAGGGGCGGGGCAGCAGAGCGGCGGACUUCAGUGCCCAGGAUGACGCCUGCCAGGUGAGCAGAGAAUAGCUUACUCAAACCAUUGAAGCAGCUCUCCACGCCCACCCAGGAUCCACAAGCCGGUCCGGAGUCUCCAAGCACCCAAUCGCCAAGCAGCAAGGCGCCAGCAGCAGCGAACUCGCUCUGAGCAUGCGCAUAGAGAACCGACAAGUCCUCAUGCGCUGCGCAGUGCCAGAGGUUGAACUUCCUACCGGAAGUGGGUUCAUUUUCCACCGGAAGGAGGCUGAAAUUGCGGCCGAAAUCCUGACACCUGAUGCUGGCGGCUUUUGUUUCGCGAAGUUGGGCCAGUAUGUGGCCACCUUUGGCGGCGGGUGACUGGUGUCCGGGUGUAUGUAUUACCUGAACACACAGAGCAGCUGUUUCCAUGCUUGGAUCAGUCAGAGAUUAUGCAGCCACAACUAUGCCUUAGAUGUGUGUAAUUCAAGUGGAGAAAACACAAGCCCGUGAUGUCGAUAUCAACACUUGAGUGUUCUGUAAACGAUUUAUCAGAGGUUGCAGCUGAACACGGCCAUGAGGUAAACCCUGCCCCUGGUUGACAUUUAGUUUCUUCAGCUUCUACGUGGGAUUUUAAGGACUUGGGAUAUAUCACAAAACCCAGCAGCCGCCCCCCACCCUUUUAAGAUUUAUUUUUUCUUCCUGAAGAUUCCAUGCUUAAAGUUCUUUAUGGUUAGUAACUGUGAUGCUUGAAGUUGGUUAUCCCUUAUUCUAGUAAAUCUUAAAUGUCAAAGAUAUAGAUAUCUUGUUAAAUAAAGAAAAGAAUCAAAAUC
rnacentral:sRNA from 1 species